ACAAUAAGUUUGGCACAUCUAGGUUGUCACACUGCAGAUGAAGAAAAGCUGGGAGAGUAGGCCGGGGUGGGUAGGUGAAGGUAGCAAUUCUUGUGGGCAGAGGUCCACCAUAACUCUCAGUCCCAAAUCAAGACCUCUUCGUCUUCUCUCUCUCCCUCUCCCCCGCAGUCCAGCACAGCGCAGUACUGCCGGGACAGCUCCCCGUUGGAAUCACUCUCCUCCAUAUAUGCAUACCCUCCCUUUCCUUCUCUUCUCCCUUCAUCUUGCUCAUACCCAAAAAGGCCAGAAAAGAUGAGAGAAAAGGGAGUAGUAGUGAGAGGAGAUGUGAGAGUGAGAGAGAGAGAGAGUACAGGUAGGAUCAAGAAGCCGUGAGAGAUUAAGAUCAAGGAAAAGUGGGCUACCUAGAGAGAGAGAUCAGGGAGCCUUUUCGUCUUUGAGGGGAAUGUUGUCUGGCUCGGGGGCGCCGCUCUUUCUCUGACCUGCUCCUUUCUCCUCCGAUCCAUCUCGCUCUUCCUCUCUCCUGGAGGUAGAGAGGAGAUCGAUCGAUGGGCAGGAGUGAGAGGAGAUGGGUGUAGAUCUCGGACCAGGCUUCAUUCCCCCCAAAAGGAAGGGCUCCCCAUGCUCUCUGCCUCCUUCAGAGCUCGUGUCCCAAGUUUUCUUGGGCAAAUCUGAACCGAGUAAGCUAGCUAAUCUGCUGAAAAUAUAUUGCACUUGUUUUUCCCCUCUCUGCAGUUCUCUUGGGCGUAUGGGUAGAAAGAAAUUUGGAUCUUGUGGCUGGGUGAGGCAUGGUGAAAGGCUGCAUGAGAUGCAGAUUGGUGUAAUGAUGGGUGGGCAUGACUGCAUGACUGACCAGUGGCCUGUUGCACACAUACCCAUGGCUAGCUCAUGUGGGGGAUCUUCUCUCCCUCUCUUUCCCUGCCAAUAAUUGGUGAUGACUGCUGGGAGAGAGGAGGUGAGGGAAAAGUUGCCAUCAUCACCUGCUGAUUAAUGGCCAUAUAUACAUCUUCUUCCCUAAUAAAUCGAUCCCUCCCAUCCCAUGCAUGCAAAUCCUUCCUCUAAAUCUGAUGGUUGGAGGCGUGUAUUCAGCCUACAAUAUUACAUUUUGGACAUCGGUAUCUAUUAUGUGAUAUAGCUCAUGACUAUAAAUCAAUGCGGCACUAAAUUGUAUUAUCUAAAGCCUCCAAGGAUGACAACUCAAGCUAGUAUUUGGAUAUUAUUUUUUUAAAUUUUCUCUCUUGUCUUUAUGUUCUUAUUAGUUCUUCCUUUGAACAUCGGGUCAUCGGUUGGUGCAAUAUGGUGGGCUACAUGUUCCCUGGGACAUGGGCUCGACCUCCUGAUGAUGGCGUUGCUCUACCGUUGUAAUGUUUGCGGAAGCUGGAUUUUUUUUUCAUUAUCUAAAAAGCUUAACUGUCA